GUUUUGCAGGCCCUAGCCCUGACUGUGGAAGUCCGUUAGCCGCAGGCGGGGCGAGGCACAGCCCUGCCCGACUUGGGGGAGCGGGUCAUUCUGGAGAGCCAGACCACGGGGACAGACACGCCCAGCGCAGAGGAGCCAAAAGCCGGGCACUGCCCUGCUUACCCCAGGAUCAUCAAGGCUAAAUGGGGUGAAGAUGGAAAUAUUUUGUAGUAAAUGAGGAAAGGCAAUAGAGAGAUUGAGAAUGUUAUCAAGUGCAGAAUGGAUUAUGGUCAAAGAAGUGGAUGUAGAUGUCAUAAAAUUGGCACUGGGGACCUCAUGAGCUAAUUCAACAGCUUCAUGUACAGUAACUGACAAAGUGUCAAGACAAAGACUAGCAAGCUGAGGUUCAUCAAAUAAUCGAGCCUGGGUAAGAAGCAUGAAGGCAUUAUCUGCUCUAAGGUGUUUAGUGAGAAAUUCCGCACAAUGUGCUUCCAGGGCUGGGACUGCAUACUUCUUGGCAGUGUAGAGAGUAGUCAUAACUGUUUCAGGACCAAUGUGAACUUCAUCUGAAUAAAGAAACCUGAGCAGCGCCAGGUUUCCAAGGCAGCGGGCUCUAUGUCGGGCAGCUCGAUCUUGGCCGAGGUGGUGGCCACGCCACCGUUGAACAUGGCGUCGAAGAUGGCGCUGCCGGUGGCCAGCAAGAAGCGGUGGGCGGGGAUGCGCUGCUGGCCGGGCCCGGGGGCCCCCCCCUGCCGCUGGGCUGCCAUGGGCCUCCCUUGCCCACCACGAAGUGCACGUCGCUGACCAGCUCGUUGGUGAAGAGGAAGGCGAAGCGCUCCUGCAGUGAGCCCUUGGUGACUUGCCAGUUAUACACGGGCUCCCGCUGCAGCGCCGCGGGGGCCGCCUCCGGGGGCCUGCCUGAACCCGCCAUCGCCGCCCCGCGGGCCGCUCACUCCGCCCGAGGCACGCGCAGCUAAAAGGCAUUUUUCUGUUUCUGGAACCUCUCACUCUAGUGCUUAAGAUUAAAAGAAAGCUAUAGAAACUUUUAGGUAAUAUUUAUGCUGAAUCCCUUAUCUUUUCCCUCAACAUUUAACUUCAAAAUUUGCAGGGCAAUGGUGUCCUCAGAGAUGCUACAAUCAUACCUCUCAUAUGUCCCACGUUUUGAGGAACAUCACCCAUUUUAGUCCCACAGUUAUCUGCAUGAAUCUGUUG